CCCUGUCGUGCAGUGGAUAGCACUUUGUUUGGAUUUCUAAUCCAAAGGUCGUGGGUUCGAAUCCCACGUGGUAGA